AAAUUUCAGAAAACUCAGAAAAAUCAGAAAAAUUUUUAGAGUCCAAAUAUAUUUUUAGCUUUGCCACGUUAUGUUUAAAUUAAUUUGUAAAAAUUAACAAAGUUUAUUGACUUUGAAAAAUCAAACUCAAUUUCUAAAAUUUGAAAAAUUUCAAAUAAAUUCUCAAAAUUUAAUAAAAUAAAAUAUUAAUAUUUACACAUAAAAUAAGUAUUUUAAAAAUUAGAGGUAUUACAUUCUUCUCCCUUUACAGAAAAUUCGUUCUCGAAUUUUACACAAGACAGAAUAAAAGAACGAAAUUAUACAUUGAACAGAUAAGGGUACUUG
rnacentral:misc_RNA from 1 species